AUGCUCUCUUAGGCAACACAUAUACUAAAAUUAGAACAAUACAGAGAAGAUUAGCAUGGCAAUACAAAGAUUAGAUGGCACACAAAUUGAUGAAGUGUUCCAUGUUAAA